UUAAUCUCAGUCUCAUAUUCUAUGUUUAUCGGACCUCCCGGAGACAGACAGAGGGGCCCGGUCCAAGCCCUCAGACAAGGGUUGGUUCAGACAGAACCACCGGAUAACUAAACAGUGUUUCAGAGCUUGCCACUGCCAUAAACGGCUUUAAAUUACUUCCACGGGUGUCAGAAGGGUAAUCAGUGAGUGUGUGUGCAUGCCUGAAUAACAGGGUCCAAGUGGGAGGGAGUGAGCUUGUUGCCUUCUCUGGGUGAAUAUCUCACUGCCCUGGACAUGAUGGGCCCGAGGUGAAAGUUCACAAAGACGCAGCUAGCCGGUGGGGGAGCUGCCAACUCUUACAGACUGGAAGAGCCCAAGGAAUACAUCAAUGAGCUCUACCAUGAGGUCCUCUGACACAUAUUCCGAUUUCAUGAGGUUGGAAUCCAGCCUUCCCUAACCAAAGAUGGGGUGUUCUCUGCACUGAAGAUGGCUGAACUGGAGUUCCCCCAGUUUGAGACUUUGCACCUCGGAAACGUUGAUGAGUUCCUAUUGCAGUGUGAGUCAGUCAAGGUCAAAGAUGUUAGAAUGUAUAGUUACUAUUGCUGAGCGAUUAGUGCUUUUUGAGGUCGGUUUCUAUUUGAUAAAAAAUAUAUAUAUA